CCUAAGACGAGCCCGAAGGGGGUAGUCGAUGGGAAGCUGGUUAAUAUUCCAGCACCUCGCGUAAGUGCGAUGGGAGGACGGAGAAGGUUAGGUGAGCCGGGCGUUGGUUGUCCCGGUGAGAGGACUGAGGUGGUGCCCUUAGGCAAAUCCGGGGGUGCAACAUUGAGGUCAAGGACGAGUCCAUUAGGAUUAAGUCACCGAUAUCACGCUUCCAGGAAAAGUCCCUAAGCUUCAG
rnacentral:rRNA from 14 species